GUAUAGUUUAAUGGUAAAACAGAAAGCUUCAACCUUUAAAUUCUUAGUUCGAGUCUAAGUACUCUUGCCUUGUUUUGCCUAUAUGUCCACUGCCCGUAUGAGAGAAUCGUACGC
rnacentral:misc_RNA from 1 species